AGAGUUUGACUCUGGCUCAGGAUGAACGCUAGCGAUAGGCUUAACACAUGCAAGUCGAGGGGCAGCGAGAUGUAGCAAUACGUCGUCGGCGACCGGCGAAUGGGUGAGUAACACGUAUGCAACUUACCUCUUAGUGGUGAAUAACCCGAUGAAAGUCGGACUAAUACACCAUACUCUCCUUAGAUCACAUGAGAAGAGGAGGAAAGAUUAAUCGCUAAGAGAUAGGCCUGCGUUCCAUUAGCUAGUUGGUAAGGUAACGGCUUACCAAGGCAACGAUGGAUAGGGGGACUGAGAGGUUGACCCCCCACAUUGACACUGAGAUACGGGUCAAACUCCUACGGGAGGCAGCAGUGAGGAAUAUUGGUCAAUGGGCGAGAGCCUGAACCAGCCAAGUCGCGUGAAGGAAGACUGCCCGCAAGGGUUGUAAACUUCUUUUGUAUGGGAUUAAAGUCGUCUACGUGUAGGCGUUUGCAGUUACCAUACGAAUAAGCAUCGGCUAACUCCGUGCCAGCAGCCGCGGUAAUACGGAGGAUGCGAGCGUUAUCCGGAAUUAUUGGGUUUAAAGGGUGCGUAGGUUGCAAGGGAAGUCAGGGGUGAAAAGCUGUAGCUCAACUAUGGUCUUGCCUUUGAAACUCUCUAGCUAGAGUGUACUGGAGGUACGUGGAACGUGUGGUGUAGCGGUGAAAUGCAUAGAUAUCACACAGAACUCCGAUUGCGCAGGCAGCGUACUACAUUACAACUGACACUGAAGCACGAAAGCGUGGGUAUCAAACAGGAUUAGAUACCCUGGUAGUCCACGCAGUAAACGAUGAAUACUAGAUCUAUGCGAUAUACAGUAUGGGUCUAAGCGAAAGCGA
rnacentral:rRNA from 1 species